AGCGACGCUAAUACCGGAUGAUAUCUUGGUAACUUAGGAUAUUGAGAUCAAAGGUGGCCUCUACAUGUAAGCUACUGUUUAGGGAUGAGCCCGCGUACCAUUAGCUAGUUGGUAGGGUAAUGGCCUACCAAGGCAACGAUGGUUAGCUGGUCUGAGAGGAUGAUCAGCCACACUGGAACUGACACACGGUCCAGACUCCUACGGGAGGCAGCAGUGAGGAAUUUUGCGCAAUGGGGGAAACCCUGACGCAGCAACGCCGCGUGAGUGAUGAAGGCCUUCGGGUCGUAAAGCUCUGUCAAGUGGGAAGAACCUACAUGUGGUUAAUACCCAUGUGUACUGACGGUACCAUUGAAGGAAGCACCGGCUAACUCCGUGCCAGCAGCCGCGGUAAUACGGAGGGUUAUUCGGAAUUAUUGGGCGUAAAGAGCACGUA
rnacentral:rRNA from 1 species